AUUCCUACGGGAGGCAGCAGUGAGGAAUAUUGGUCAAUGGGCGAGAGCCUGAACCAGCCAUCCCGCGUGCAGGAAGAAUGUCCUAUGGAUUGUAAACUGCUUUUCCACUAGAAGAAUAAGAGCUACGUGUAGCUUUACGACGGUAUAGUGGGAAUAAGCAUCGGCUAACUCCGUGCCAGCAGCCGCGGUAAUAAU
rnacentral:rRNA from 1 species